AUUGAACGCUGGCGGCAGGCCUAACACAUGCAAGUCGAGCGGAAACGAGUUAUCUGAACCUUCGGGGGACGAUAACGGCGUCGAGCGGCGGACGGGUGAGUAAUGCCUAGGAAAUUGCCCUGAUGUGGGGGAUAACCAUUGGAAACGAUGGCUAAUACCGCAUAAUGCCUACGGGCCAAAGAGGGGGGACCUUCGGGCCUCUCGCGUCAGGAUAUGCCUAGGUGGGAUUAGCUAGUUGGUGAGGUAAUGGCUCACCAAGGCGACGAUCCCUAGCUGGUCUGAGAGGAUGAUCAGCCACACUGGAACUGAGACACGGUCCAGACUCCUACGGGAGGCAGCAGUGGGGAAUAUUGCACAAUGGGCGCAAGCCUGAUGCAGCCAUGCCGCGUGUGUGAAGAACGGCCUUUCGGGUUGUUAAAGCGACUUUUCAGUCGUGAGGAAGGUGGUGUAGUUAAUAGCUGCAUUCUUGACGUUUAGCGACAGAAGAAGC
rnacentral:rRNA from 1 species